rnacentral:rRNA from 1 species
AACGAACGCUGGCGGCAUGCCUAACACAUGCAAGUCGAACGAGACCUGCGGGUCUAGUGGCGCACUGGGGCGUAACGCGGGGGGACCUGCCCUUAGGUUCGGAAUAACUCCCCGGAAGGGGUGCUAAUACCGGAGAAUGUCUUCCGACCAAAGAGUGAGCGCCUGUGGAUGGGCCUGCGUUGGAUUAGCUAGUUGGUAGGGUAAAAGGCUACCAAGGCGACGAUCGAUAGCCGGUCAGAGAGGAGGAUCAGCCACACUGGGACGGAGAAAGGGCCCAGACUCUGGCGGUAGGCACCGGCGGGGAAUAUUGGAGAAGGGGCGAAGGCCUGAUCCAGCCAAGCCGCGUGUGGCAAGAAGGACCUCGGACGGUAAAGUACUUUAAGUUGGGGGGUAGGGCAGUAAGUUAAUCCCGUGCUAUAUUGACGUUACCGGCAGAAUAAGCCCCGGCUAACUCCGUG